GCGAGAGUGGCGGAAUUGGCAGACGCACCAGACUUAGGAUCUGGCGGAUUCGUCCGUGGGGGUUCGAGUCCCCCCUCUCGCA
rnacentral:tRNA from 1 species